UACGAAGGGGGCUAGCGUUGCUCGGAAUCACUGGGCGUAAAGCGCACGUAGGCGGAUCUUUAAGUCAGGGGUGAAAUCCCGAGGCUCCAACCUCGGAACUGCCUUUGAUACUGGGGAUCUCGAGUCCGGAAGAGGUUGGUGGAACUCCGAGUGUAGAGGUGAAAUUCGUAGAUAUUCGGAAGAACACCAGUGGCGAAGGCGGCCAACUGGUCCGGUACUGGACGCUGAGGUGCGAAAGCG
rnacentral:rRNA from 1 species